AUGGCGGGCGAGAAGGGCCUGGUGCUGCUGGACUUCUGGGUGAGCCCGUUCGGGCAGCGCGUCCGCAUCGCGCUGGCGGAGAAGGGCCUGCCCUACGAGUACGCGGAGGAGGACCUGAUGGCCGGCAAGAGCGACCGCCUCCUCCGCGCCAACCCGGUGCACAAGAAGAUCCCGGUGCUCCUCCACGACGGCCGCCCCGUCAACGAGUCCCUCAUCAUCCUCCAGUACCUGGAGGACGCCUUCCCGGACGCCCCGGCACUGCUCCCCUCCGACCCCUACGCGCGCGCGCAGGCCCGCUUCUGGGCCGACUACGUCGACAAGAAGGCGCAGGCGCGCGCCGAGAUGCUGGACAUCCUCAAGACCCUCGACGGCGCGCUCGGGGACAAGCCCUUCUUCGGCGGCGACAAGUUCGGGUUCGUCGACGCCGCCUUCGCGCCCUUCACCGCGUGGUUCCACAGCUACGAGAGGUACGGCGAGUUCAGCCUGCCGGAGGUGGCGCCCAAGAUCGCGGCGUGGGCCAAGCGCUGCGGCGAGCGGGAGAGCGUCGCCAAGAGCCUCUACUCGCCGGACAAGGUGUACGACUUCAUCGGCCUGCUCAAGAAGAAGUACGGCAUCGAGUAG
rnacentral:rRNA from 1 species